GUCGGGACUUUUAUUUUGAAAGGCCUUUUUUUUGUGGUGUAUAUAUGCUGCUGUGUCCUCACGCCCCCUUGGUGUCUGUCUCUCUGGGUUCAUUCCGUCUCCGAGCGGCCGUGUUUCACAACCCAGGCUGAGUGAGUGAAGAUGUUCGCGGUCAGAGCGGCGUGGCGGCGCUGUGCGGUCCGGCAGGCCCUCACGGUCCGGUCCAGCCUGAAUGGAGCCGUUGCUCCUCGGAGGCUCAUGUCGUCUGUCCCUGGCGGCACAGGCGAAAAUAUUCUGUAUGUAGUUCUGUGCGGUGGAGCUUUUGCUGGUGCCAUGGCAUAUGCCUACCAAACGGUGGCAUCAGACAGCACCCGCUUUUCUGACCGUAUGUCCGGGAUCCAGGCACGGCCCAAGGAUGACUGGAAGCCCAAACCUUGGCCACCCAAAAGCGAGGAGGAUGGCAAGGAAGAUGAUGCUGAGGAGGCAGAGGAAGCAGUUGAGGCUGUAGCAGAGGCUAAUGGAGAAGAGGCGGGACCUUUGGAGCUGGCUGCAGAAGUUAACGGAGAGGAGGCGGGCCCUGUGGAGACGGUCGCAGAGACGGUCGCAGAGACGGUCGCAGAGACGGUCGAGGUGGUUGUCGUGGAAGCAGUGGAAGAGGUGGCGGCUGUGGCUGAGGAGGCAGAGCAGGCGGAGGCUGCUGCAGAGGCACUGGAGGCUCCUGUGGUUGCUGCCCCUGCCCCAGAGGAGCCUGCAGCUGAGAGCAACGUGGCCCAAGAACAUGUAGAGAUAGCUGCUGCUUCUGUGAUGGAGAAGCCAUUGGUGGUUCCUGUAGAGGAGGAAAUUCCAGUGAUUGAAGCUAUAGCACCACUUGAGGCUGAGCCAGAAAAGCUUGCAGAAGGUCCAGCUUCACCAGUAGUUGAGGAGGCAUCAACAGACGCAACUCCAGCCAAUCCUAUAGUAGAGGUACCAGUUGUCCUGACAACAGAGGAAGCACCUGUUGCUGUAGUGACUGAAGAGGUAUCAGUUACCCCUACAACAGAGGAAGCUACAGUUGCCACAACACUAGAGGAAGUAAAUGUUGCCCCAGUUGCUGAUGAGGCACUGAUUGCCCCAGACACAGUGCAAGCACUUGUUGCCCCAGCAGUAGAAGAAGCACUGGUUACCCCAACAUCAGAGGAAUCUCCUGUUUCCCAAGAAGUAGAAGAGGCACCAGUUAUCCCAAUAGCAGAGGAUGUUCCUGUUGCACCAGUUACUCUAAUAACAGAGGAGGUUUCUGUUGCCCUAGUUGCUGAGGAGGUACCAGUUAUCCCAAUAGCAGAGGAGGUCUCUGUUGCCCCAGUUUUUCAAGAGGCACCAGUUACCCCAGUAACAGAGGAGGUUUCUGUUGCCCCAGUUGCUGAAGAGGCACCAGUUACCCCAAUAACAGAGGAGGCUUCAGUUGCUCCAGUUGCUCCAGUUGCUGAAGAGGCACCAAUUGCUCUAGUAGCAGAGGAUAUUCCUGUUGCCCUAGUGGCUGAAGAGGUACCAGUUAGCCCAGGAGCAGAGGAUGUCCUUGUUGCACCUGUUUUUGAAGAGGCACCAAUUACCCCAACAACAGAACUAGAGGCUGUGGUGGUUGCAGAGCAAGUAACAGAAAGUUCAGAGGGUGUUGUGGAAGCUCCAGAAGAAGUACCAGCAAGUCCAAUUGUGGAGGUAGCAACAAGUGAAACUGAGCCAGCAAUGGAAAGUCAGGUGGUUGCAGAGGCGACAACUGCCGUUGAGACAGUGGCAUCCCUUGCUGAUAUGGAAGACCCGGCUCCAGAAUCUAAGCGUGAAUACAUAGUAGUUGUGUUGGAGGGAGCCCCCAAAACUGAAAAGAAACCUAAGGUUCUUGGUGUGUCCCCCUUGACUGGCAGGAUCAUUCCAGCCCCUGAUAAUGAUGAGGAGCUAACAGGACAGGUAACAGAGCAGGCGCCGCCUGCUUAAGAUCCAGAUGUCCUGACUUGGGCCAAAAGGGUCAGUAAGUCAGAAGUCCCAUGUUAGUUAACCCUGAUGAAGAAUGAGGGAUGUGCCUUCCCCGCCUGUCUGUCUCCUAUCUGUCACUUUGAUCUCACCUUUCCUUUGGACCAUUGGAUUCAUUGGCAGUGAUAGAGCCCUGGCUGUGACUCCUGAACAAUGCUGGUUUAUCACACUAUUCAGAUUAUGUGAAAUCUCUAUUUACAUUUAACUUUUUUAGGCAUUACUGGAACUUGUUUACUUCAGUUGAACAUACACUGCUUAACAGUCUUCAAUUACUCAGUGGAAUACAGAUUUUCUAUCUAUAUAUUUAUUCUUUUAUACACUUAUGACAGACACAGAUAGGGGAACUGUCCAACUCCUGGAUAAUUUUUGGAAUAUCUGGAUGUCUUGAUAUUUACAAUGUGAAUAUUGUGAAGGAUCGGUUAUAUUUUACCCUAUUUAGUUAGCAGUUCUGUCAUUUCUAAUCCACUGCAUCAUGGAUGGAGCUGGUGAAAGAAUUGUUUACCCUACCUCACUCUGGUUGGCCAUUCACAUUGCCAUGAUAUCAGCUGCUAUGUCAUCAGGCCAAAGACGAAAUUUUCAAAAUUCAAACAGAGCCACUAAUUUUCAGCAGUUGAGAUGUAAACAAAAGUCAUUAGAGUGAAACAGUUAAUUGUAGAGAACUUACGGACUCAGGUAUCUUUACAGUGGUGGUGAUAGGAACCGGGGUAAAGAUUUCCAAAUUACAAAUCUAGCAAUUUCACAUAUUUCUAAGUCGCUUAUUCUUAUUACCAAAACCACUUGAAAACUCUCCUGAGUUUUUGUAUGCAAUACAUUUUCUUUGGGACUGUUUUGCCUUCAGUUUCCUGAUCAUAACUCUCCACCACUCAUUUUUGAAAAAUGUUUUAGGCCAAAACCAUCUCUCAUAACUAUCUUAAAACAGUGUCUGAGGCAUCAGGCAGCAAAUUCCAAAUUAUUUCUUGUAAUCAUUUUAUGUGAGAAAAUCUUUGAGGCAAUAAGCUCUUCAAACGUCUGGUUCCUAUCACCACCACUGUGAACCAUUCUGAUUGGAAGUUUCUCUAGAGCUAAGCAUUUUAUAUAUGACCAUUCUAAAUGACCAUUUUGUCCGAUUCUUAAUCAUUUGAUUAUGCAGAUGUUUGGAAAUAUUGGUGGAAUUCCACUUUCAAGUACUGUCAUGUUUACACACCAGUCAGAGAACUUUCCAGCCCAACUCUUGGCUGUUCCUUUCUCAGGCACCUUUUGAAACAAAAUUCACUAUUUUUUUAGUCUUCAGUAAAAGCCAAAAAUGUGCAGAUAUUUCAGGAGCCUUUUUUUACACUGAGACAUAAUCAUAUUAAAACACUCCAUUAUUGGCAUGUAUAAGAAAUACUGGCCAGUUCCUACACCUUUCUACCUCACCUUAACUCUAGCUGCUGUCCUUCACAGUAUUUCUCCUAGAAAAAGAGAAAAAAAAGUCUUCUUCCUUUCACACUCCAUGAUAACCAGCAGUGGGAUAGUUUAUCUGUGGAAGGUUGAAGAUGAGAGCUGCGCUUUUACUAUUAAGCUAUUCAUUAUUCACUACAUUUUCACAACCAGCGAAGUUUCUUCCAUUUCCAGCUCAGCUUGCAUCCGCUAAUGUUAAUAUCAAAUGUUUUACACUUCUCCGAGGACCAGAAUUCAGUGUUCCUUUACCUUUUUUAAACAUCCAUUCUGUUACUAGAGGUCUCUGACCUUAGGUCAGUCUGUUGAUUGUCCAUCUACAUGUGGCCACUACUUUUAGGAGAAGCUUCUUACACUUCAGCUGCGCAGUAUUAUCCUAGUAAGGGUACCAGUAAGAGUAAAGCUUGUGUCCAGUUAUUGUUUCAGAGGCUUGUAGUCGAGGUUUUUGCUUUCCUAAGUCAACUAAAGCUUUCUAAGCCUUCGCAAUUAAAAAUUUGUUAUAGUUCUUGCAUGUGGGUCAUCUAGUAUGUAGUUUUUGGGGUUUUUUUUUGUUCAAAGAAGGGGCUCUGAAUGUAAACUUGAAUAAUGUAGUGUGGGUCUAUUCAGUGUGUCUGUCUUUGAAACUUUCCUGUUAUGGUUUGACGGAUGUGUAGUGUAGAGUUCUGUGCUAUCCUGAGCCUGGCCACUGCUUGAAUGUAGGCAGAGUAUUGUGUGUUUUAAAUAAAAAGGGAAUCAAACUUCUGUUUUUGUCCAGUACAUUUGUGUGUGUGUCACUGGCAGUGGUGAGUAUUCACUAGAUGUACUUUCAUGAGCAUCUUCAGAUGCUAAUACUUUUACUUUAAGUAUAUUUGCAAAGAAACGAAUCAACUACGUUUGACAUUUAUAGUUUUAUUUUAGACCAAAAGGAUCUCAAAAAGAGUAUAUUCGAAUGCAGAGGUUUGAACACACCCAGUCAAAUGUUUUCAUUUUCUAAGUGAAAAUACAUAAGCACAUCUAAAGAGAACAGUUAUGUAUGGCAUUUUAGCUGUAAUGUAAUGCAAAAUUGGGUAAAAAAAUGAAACUUGCCAUAACUUCUGCACAAUCCACAUUUUAUAGUUCUUUUUCUCCCAACGUGUUAAAUUCAGCAAAUAAACAGUAAUUUUGCAUUAAAAUGUGCCAGAGUGUGUUCUCUGCAGAGGAAAUGCUUGCACACUUUCACUUGGAAAAUUAACAAGAUGUGUCAUUUGACUUUUACAUACAAUUGUAUAUAUAUUAUAUGGUCUGUAGUUAGGGUGUAGAUUUAGGGUGCUGUCAGAUUGUGGCAUUUUCAGUCUCUGGUACAUCAAGUUAGACUUCAUAUGAAACAAAGAGGUCAAAAUAAGUGUGCGUGAUGCAAAAACCUCAAUAAUAAC
ensembl:lncRNA